rnacentral:rRNA from 1 species
GAUGAACGCUAGCUACAGGCUUAACACAUGCAAGUCGAGGGGUAACAAGAGAAAAGCUUGCUUUUCUUGUUGACGACCGGCGCACGGGUGAGUAACGCGUAUCCAACCUGCCUAUAACUAGGGAUAACCUUGCGAAAGUAAGACUAAUACCCUAUGAUUUCCUUUGAUGACAUCAGAUUAGGAAUAAAGAUUUAUCGGUUAUAGAUGGGGAUGCGUCUGAUUAGCUUGUUGGCGGGGUAACGGCCCACCAAGGCAACGAUCAGUAGGGGUUCUGAGAGGAAGGUCCCCCUCAUUGGAACUGAGACACGGUCCAAACUCCUGCGGGAGGCAGCAGUGAGGAAUAUUGGUCAAUGGGCGAAAGCCUGAACCAGCCAAGUAGCGUGCAGGAUGACGGCCCUAUGGGUUGUAAACUGCUUUUAUACAGGAAUAAAGUUAGCCACGUGUGGUUAUUUGUAGGUACUGUAUGAAUAAGGACCGGCUAAUUCCGUGCCAGCCGCCGCCGUAA